GACGAACGCUGGCGGCGUGCUUAACACAUGCAAGUCGAACGGAAAGGCCCUGCUUUUGUGGGGUGCUCGAGUGGCGAACGGGUGAGUAACACGUGAGUAACCUGCCCUUGACUUUGGGAUAACUUCAGGAAACUGGGGCUCAUACCGGAUAGGAGCUCCUGCUGCAUGGUGGGGGUUGGAAAGUUUCGGCGGUUGGGGCUGGACUCGCGGGUUAUCCGCUUGUUGGUGGGGUAGUGGCUUACCAAGGCUUUGACGGGUAGCCGGCCUGAGAGGGUGACCGGCGACCAUGGUACUACGGGACGGACCAGAAGCCUACGGGACGCAGCGGUGGAAAGUAUUGCACAAUGAGCGGAAGCCAGAUGUAGCAGCGCCGCGUGCGUGAUGACGGCUUUCGAGGUGUAAACAGAUUUCGAAUGAGACGAGGCGUGAUUGACGGUAAUGGGUAAGAAAGCACCGGCUAACUACGUG
rnacentral:rRNA from 1 species